rnacentral:rRNA from 1 species
CGUGGGUAACCUGCCCAAGAGAUCGGGAUAACACCUGGAAACAGAUGCUAAUACCGGAUAAUAACAGAUGAUGCCUAUCAACUGUUUAAAAGAUGGUUCUGCUAUCACUCUUGGAUGGACCUGCGGUGCAUUAGCUAGUUGGUAGGGUAACGGCCUACCAAGGCGAUGAUGCAUAGCCGAGUUGAGAGACUGAUCGGCCACAUUGGGACUUAGACACGGCCCAAACUCCUACGGGAGGCAGCAGCA